CGGAGGGAGCGAGCGUUGUCCGAAGUUACUGGGCGUAAAGCGCGCGUAGGCGGGGAAUUAAGUGAGAAGUGAAAGGCUGGGGCUCAACCCCAUGCAGUGCUUCUCAUACUGGUUUUCUUGAGGGUGGUAGAGAGAAGUGGAAUGGCUGGUGUAGCGGUGAAAUGCGUAGAUAUCAGUCGGAACACCGGUGGCGAAGGCGGCUUCUUGGGCCAUUUCUGACGCUGAGGCGCGAAAGCUAGGGGAGCGAACGGGAUUAGAUACCCCGGUAGUCCUAGCCGUAAACGAUGGAUACUAGGUGUCGGGGGUAUCGACCCCUCCGGUGCCGCAGCUAACGCACUAAGUAUCCCGCCUGGGGAGUACGGCCGCAAGGUUG
rnacentral:rRNA from 1 species